UCAGAAGGAGAACCAUCUGCUUUCCCACUGCAAUGGACCGUGAGUAAUGGAAACCCGGGAAAGUGAAACCUCAAAAAAGGGAGGACUACGAUUCUUCGGGAAAUGAACACUGAAAGCAGAUAUUGAAGACUCCCUGAUGAGACUCACAUUUGGAAUUAAAAUGAUCAGUCUGCUGCAGAUGCAGAUAUCCAUAAACAUUUGACAUUUUAAAAAAGACACAGUGAAAAGACAGCCAUCUAUAAACCAAGAAAUGGGCUCUCAGCAGACACCGGAUCAUCCUCCAGAGGCUUGAUUUUCGACUUCCCAGCCUCCAGAACGUGAG